rnacentral:tRNA from 1 species
CGGGAUGUAGCGCAGUUCGGUAGCGCGCCUGCUUUGGGAGCAGGAUGCCGCAGGUUCGAAUCCUGUCAUCCCGACCA